AUAUUUAAAUUACAAAAUUUAAUAAUUUAAAUAUGUUUAUUGAAUUAAAUUUUAAAAUCUCUAUUAAAUGUUUUAAGUAUGUGGUGUAUGUUUUUAUAUACAUCUGGUAUAGAGAAUGCUUAAUAAAGUGUAUUCAUAAUUCCAAGAAAAAGAGGAGAAAUCUUUACUUGCACCUAAUGUAUACUAAUAUUUUAUACACCACAAAAGCAUAUUACAUGAUUGAUAGAAUAUCCGAUAAUUAGUAUUAAGAAUUUUUGUGAUGUGAUGGAACUGCCAAAUUAUAUAUUUUACGAAUUUUAAAAUAUUAACAAUAAAAAGAGGCUUGAUGCAUGUGAUAUUUUAAUAGACCGGAUGCAUGCAAUAUUGUUGAAGUAGAGGAGAGAGAGGAAGGAGUACACAUGUUGCUCCGAGGGCUUCUAAUGUGACCAAACUAUCAAAUUAAUAUAUCUAUAGAUAAUUAUUAAAAUUUUAAGAUAAAACAAUUGUAACUAAAUAAAAAAAAUUAUAAAAUAGUGUUAUGUACAUUAUAAAAAAUAACUUUUGUAUUAAUAUUUUUUUAAUUUUGAAUAGUUACAUUAUUUUAACAAUUUUAUUUAAAAAUUAAUCAAAUUUAAUAGUUUUGAAAACUAUUCUAUAAUUAACUUUUUUAACUAAUAAGUUAAAAUUGGGGAACUUAUUUCAAAUUGCCGAAAAUUUGAAGAUGUCUUUACCUUAUUAAAAUUGAUUGCAAAAAAAAUUUUCUUACAUGCACAUGAUACAUAGUAAUAUUCUAUACACCACAACUUAUAUUAGAUUAUAAAUAUUUUGAUAUCAAAACUUAAUUAAACAUAUAUAACUUACGAAGUUAAUAAUUUAAAUUCUAUUUAAUGAAUUAGAUUUUAAAAUAAAAAGUAACGAAAAAAAAAGUCGAAGAAUAAAAAAAAUUACAAAUAAAAAAAUUUAAGAUGAAACAACAGUUAUUACAGUAAAAAUUUAAGAAUUAUUUUCUUUUAAAAAAAUUAUAAGAAAAAUUAUAUUUAUACCAGCGGUAAGAGUUGAGAAUUAAAAUAUCAUAUCUCUCAUAAUUUAAGUCAGAAAUUGCAAAUAAUUAAUAUUUAAGUUCUAAAAUAUUGUGUUCCAUUUUGAGUAUUCUAGAAAAUUUUAAAUGUAAAGUUAAUUGCUUAUAAAAUUAUAAAUAUAGUAUUAAAGUUUAAUACUAAAACCAAAUGGAUCAUUUUGAAUCGAUUAUUUUACUUUUCAAAAUUUUUUAAUUUAUUUGAUUUGAGUCGGUCAACGAUAUUUUGACUUUAAAUUUUGAAUACGUCAUUUUAUUUUAGACAUUCAAUUAAUAUAUUUCAUACAAUUCUCAUAAUUUUAAAUUUAUUAAAGCAAGUUAUUAAAUUAAACUCUAUCAAUCUCUUUUUUAUUUUUUAUUGUACAACUUAUUUUUAAGUGAUAAAUAUUAUAAAAUUAAAGUUUAUAUUUAAUAUAUGUAAUUUUAGUUAUAUAAAAAGUUAUGUGUAAAAAAUUAUAGAUUAUAUAAUUUAAAUUUUAGGAGAGAAUAAGAGGAAAGAGUUAAAAAAAGAAAUG
rnacentral:lncRNA from 1 species